CCUACGGGGGGCAGCAGUGAGGAAUAUUGGUCAAUGGGCGCGAGCCUGAACCAGCCACGUAGCGUGAAGGAUGACUGCCCUCCGGGUUGUAAACUUCUUUUAUAAAGGAAUAAAGUUAGGCUCGUGUGCCUUUUUGUAUGUACUUUAUGAAUAAGGAACGGCUAACUCCGUGCAAGCAGCCGCGGUAAUACGGUGGAUCCGAGCGUUAUCCGGAUUUAUUUGGGUUAAAGGGAGCGUAGAUGGGUUGGUAAGUCAGUUGUGAAAGUUUGCGGCUCAACCGUAAAAUUGCAAUUGAUACUGGCAGUCUUGAGUACGGUUGAGGUAGGCGGAAUUCGUGGUGUAGCGGUGAAAUGCGUAGAUAUCACGAAGAACACCGAUUGCGAAGGCAGCUUACUAAACUGCCACUGACAUUGAUGCUCGAAAGUGUGGGUAUCAAACAGGAUUAGAUACCAGGGUAGUC
rnacentral:rRNA from 1 species